UAACGACUGGAAACGGUCGCUAAUACCGCAUGACAUUCCACUGCCGCAUGGUGGAGGAAUCAAAGGAGCAAUCCGCUUUUAGAUGGGCUCGCGUCCGAUUAGCUAGUUGGUGGGGUAACGGCCUACCAAGGCGACGAUCGGUAGCCGAACUGAGAGGUUGAUCGGCCACAUUGGGACUGAGACACGGCCCAGACUCCUACGGGAGGCAGCAGUGGGGGAUAUUGCACAAUGGGGGAAACCCUGAUGCAGCAACGCCGCGUGAGGGAAGACGGUUUUCGGAUUGUAAACCUCUGUUUUAAGUGAAGAUAAUGACGGUAGCUUAAGAGGAAGCCACGGCUAACUAC
rnacentral:rRNA from 1 species